AGAAAAAUCAAUUUAGAUCUGACAAUUAGGAGGUUCUUGAUAACCUCAGAAAGUUUUCAACUGAGUGUUAGAGAAGUCAUAUUAUUGUGAAUUAAGAAUAGGAAAGAAUUGAAGAAGGGCAGACAAAAGGUACAAAGUAGUGUUUGGGGAAGCCUGACUGGGAACAUAGAGAGCUGGAUAGAGGGUCACAAAUAAUCUGUUGGAAAGGACUUUGACAUUCUUAUAUACUAAAGGGAAAGAGCCAGUUAAGAUGAAAGUUCAAAUACAAUAGGUGAGUAGAGCUUAGUGAGGAACCCACUGCAGGGAGCCAGGUGAGAAAGGAUAGUCACUUGGACUAGGCUGGAGGUAAGAGAAAUGAAGGGAAAUGGACCAAAUCAAGUUGUUUUUGAAGUAGAAUUAUAAAGCAGAAUAAUGAUUACUUCAUAAUUUCUGCAUAUUGCUUCAAAAUUACUGUAGAAUCAACGCCUUUAAAGAUUGUUAAUUUACCUGGACAGGAAUUUCAAACAUUUUAAAAAGUCAGAAUUAUAUUUAAUCUUCUUAUUUUUACAAGCUGGAAUUAUCUAUAGACUUACAUAGGCUGGAAGUAAAAGGAUGGAAAAAAGAGACUCCACACAAAGUUUCUGUAGGUCAGACAUCCAGCAAGGAGUUUCUGGGUUCUCUGCUCUGGGUUUCAGGAGAGUGAAUUCAAGAUGUGAGCCAGACCAAGUUCUAAUUUGUAAACUCUGAAGAAAAGUUAUUGUCCAAGGUAUUUUGUGGUGAAGAUGAACUCUAGAAUCAGGUACUACAAUUUGAAUGCUGGCUCCACAACUGAUGAGGUACAUGCCCUGGGACAAACCACACCACCUCUCAGAGCCUGUCACAAGGCAGUCAGGACAUUUUAGGAGCAAACGCCUAUGAAGCUCGUAAAAAGGGCUUGGCUUAUGGAUUUUUCUUCUGUCACUUUGCAAGCCUGGGACUUCCCAGCCAGCGACACCCUACCUGGGCCCUCGUCGGCCACGCUGGUGUUCCCCAGCUCGCCUGUUAUAGCUUGUACCCGUGUUCAGUGGUUCUGGAGCUCUUGUGCCAUGCCCAAGAAGAAUGAGGAUAUGAUGGACAUUGAAGUGUGAAGAGGACAGAGAAUAACUUUAUUGAGCAAUGAAACAGCUUUCAGCAGAGAGGCAUGUGGGGUUGGUCCGCCUACCGGAAGGCAGGAAUGCCCUCUUUGUUGCUGGGUGGGGGCCUUUGGACUCAGAAUGGAGAGUGUGUGUUGAUUUAUUUUUGAGUAUGCAAAAAAGGUUACAGUGAAGACAACUCUUAAAACGUGGGCACAGCAGUGUAGAAAGUCAAUUAGGAAAGGGUAGGUAUAUGAGAAAUAGGGGAAGGGUGGGGACUAAUCAGAGCAAACAUGUCAAAUGGAGAAACAGGUUCUCAAUCCAGUCUAAGGAUUUAACUUGUAGCUUGGCCUUUCAGGCUUUAAACUGUCCUUGGCUUGGAGGUGGAGUUUCACUGGGGACCCUUCCCCAUCCGCCUAAGCAUUUGGCUGCCUCCUGUCGCUCUCACUUUUUCAAAUGAGAUAAAAGCUUUCAUGUUCUUAAGUUGAUGGAAAUGAUUCUGUACAGAGAGAAAAAUGUUGCUGUAAGCAUGAGAGGUAAUUGCAAAGACAUUGAAUGAAGCAAGUGAAGGAAGGUAGUGGACAAAGGGAGGGAGCUGCCCUUAGGCAGAGCAUAAAUAAUACUUUAAAGGAAAUGAAUUAACUCUGAAUCUUUAAUCUUUUUUCAGCAAAAAUCUCACUUUUUAACUCAGCAUUUUCAGAUCAAUAUUCUUUUUUUUUUCUUUAGCAAAGUUAAUUCAAGCAUGGUCCCCUGUUCUGAAACAUUUUGGAGAAAACCACCUCCAAUUAGGUCAACAAGCUUUGCUUUCUGACUUCUAAACACGACUGUUUUAACCCUGGUAACACUUUAUAAUUAGUAAAGCACACUGACUGGAUUUCUUUUAAUUACUAUAAUCCUACUACCAUCCUCAUGGUGCUGGGAUGGCCAGAUGUUCAUCUUAUAUUUCACAGUAAUUGUGUAACUAAAUCUCUAAAGAAUCUUUAAGUUAUUUUUCCAUGGAAAGUAGUUCUUUUCAUGGUAAGCUAUAAAAUUUCAAGUGGAAACUACAUAUUUCUUCUCUGAAUGCUGUUUAAUAUUUCCAACAGCAAUACUCAGCUAAUGUAUUUAUUUCAAACUAUAACUUUUCUUUUUACUCUAAAUACGAAAAAGUUGCUUUUUCUUACAAAGAAAAAAAGUAAAAGUCAAUGAUAGUACAGACCUGUGAUUGUCCUCAGUUAUAUGUUAAUGUGUGUGUGUGUGCAUGUGUUAUAAUCAUGAAUAAAACAGGGCAGGAUUUAACAACCUCUUCCAGUUAGCAUGUUAAUUUCUCAUUUUAAAGAAACCUUUUUUUCUGAAAUACAAUAGUUGACAUGAAUCCCAUAAGUUUCAUUACCUUUUUUCUUGCCCUUUUUUGAAAAACAGCUUGCACAUCUCCAGCAUUGCAUAAAAUACCCAUUUGUAAUUAUGCUUAACCUUUCCAAAGCCUUUGGGCAUAGUCUGCUCAUUAAUCUUUAACCUGACAAGCCUUGGGGGUUGUAAAAUUGGUACCUCUAUGUAUUAGAGACAGAGACUAGAGACUAGAGGUACAAAAGGGGUAAUUAAAAGGAGGUAAGAAAAGAAAUACAACAAAACUAGAGAGAUAUGAUUAUAUUAUGGUAGAUGUCAACUAACAGCAGGGACAAUAUAAUGCAAAUCAUUACAGACAGAGUUCAGGAAAUAAAUGAAGGUAUACAUUUUUAGAAAAAAAGUUAACCAUACCCUGUCGUACUCAAGAAAAAAUAACUUGCACCAAAUUCAUCUAAAAUAAAGAUAUACAAAUAUAAUCAUACAAAAUAUGGAUUGGCUAUGCUUUUAUAUAACAUCCCCAUAUGCAUUUUUCCAUGUUGGGCUAAAGUAUAACAAAUAGAUAUUUUAAGUAAAACUAAUACCAUUGCCUGAAAAAUUAGUUUGUAAUGAAGGAAGUACCAUAUUUUGAACAUAUUCAGAUGAUGAUUAUUUUUGUACUGGGUGUUGAUGAAGAGAACUAACAUGAGUAAAGUGUAGUUUUCUCCAUAAUAUCAUGUUUUCCUAGGUAUACAAUUUUUCCUAGACACUUGUAUCAACCGUUGAAGAUUUGUUAUUAGAAAACUAAGAUUCCCAUACAUUUGUGCAAAUAUGCAUACAUAUGAAAAUAUUGUAUCUAUUAAAGAGAUGUUUAAAAUUU